rnacentral:rRNA from 1 species
UACAGAGGUCUCAAGCGUUGUUCGGAUUCAUUGGGCGUAAAGGGUGCGUAGGUGGCAGGGUAAGUCGGAUGUGAAAUCCCGGGGCUCAACCUCGGAACUGCAUUCGAUACUGCUUUGCUUGAGUACUGGAGAGGAGAUUGGAAUUUACGGUGUAGCAGUGAAAUGCGUAGAUAUCGUAAGGAAGACCAGUGGCGAAGGCGGAUCUCUGGACAGUUACUGACACUGAGGCACGAAGGCCAGGGGAGCAAACGGG